rnacentral:rRNA from 1 species
AGCCCAACCCUAGCCCAAACUUCUUCCUUUUUCCACCAACUACAACCCACUCAACAACAACAAACUAAAACAUUUCCACACGUCCUAGUAUAGGCGAUAGAAAAGACCUCAAUGGCGCAAUAGAUUUCAUGUACCGUAAGGGAAAGAUGAAAUAACAAUGAAAACCUAAAGCAACCAAAACAGCAAAGAUAAACCCUUGUACCUUUUGCAUCAUGAUUUAGCAAGAACAACCAAACAAAACGACCUGAAGUUUGCCACCCCGAAACCUGUGCGAGCUACUAACAAACAGCUACUUAAUGAGCAAACCCGUCUCUGUCGCAAAAGAGUGGGAAGAUUUGUUAGUAGAGGUGAAAAGCCAAUCGAGCCAGGUGAUAGCUGGUUACCUGCGAAAAGAAUCUAAGUUCACUUUUAAUUUAACACCCCCGGCUCUACCUAACCCUCCCGUACUAAAUUAAAAGAAAUUUAAAGGGGGUACAGCCCCUUUAAAAAAGAAAACAACCUCCACUAGAGGAUAAGCACCCACCCACAUAAACUUGUAGGCCUUUAAGCAGCCACCAACUAAGAAUGCGUCAAAGCUCCUAAACAAAAAAUUCAAAAACACAUGCGACUCCCUCUUCCAUAGCAGGUUAACCUAUAACAUAUAGGAGAAUUAAUGCUAAAAUAAGUAACUAAGAAGAUACUCCUCUCAAGCACAAACUUACAUACCCCAUUAUUAACAGAACAACUAAUACUACAAAACCCAACAAGACUUAAAUAUUAAACCAACUGUUAACCCCAACCCAGGAGUGCUAAACUAGAAAGAUUUAAACCUACAAAAGGAACUAGGCAAACACUCAAGGCCCGACUGUUUACCAAAAACAUAGCCUUUAGCCUAAUAAGUAUUGAAGGUGACGCCUGCCCAGUGACAAAGUUUAACGGCCGCGGUAUCCUAACCGUGCAAAGGUAGCGCAAUCAAUUGUCCCAUAAAUCGAGACUUGUAUGAACGGCUAAACGAGGUCUUAACUGUCUCUUGUAGGUAAUCAGUGAAAUUGAUCUCCUCGUGCAAAAGCGUGGAUAAACACAUAAGACGAGAAGACCCUGUGGAACUUAAAAAUCACCAGCCAUUCAAAGCCUUAACCUACAAGCCUAUCCCAGGCCUAAACAAACCAUGAGCAAUUUGGCCUGUAUUUUUUGGUUGGGGCGACCUUGGAGAAAAACGAAUCCUCCAAAAACAAGACCACACCUCUUAACCAAGAGCAACACCUCAAAGUACUAAUAGUAACCAGAUCCAGUAUAACUGACCAAUGAACCAAGCUACCCCAGGGAUAACAGCGCAAUCCCCUCCAAGAGCCCAUAUCGACAAGGGGGUUUACGACCUCGAUGUUGGAUCAGGACAUCCUAAUGGUGCAGCCGCUAUUAAGGGUUCGUUUGUUCAACGAUUAACUAGUCCUACGUGAUCUGAGUUCAGACCGGAGCGAUCCAGGUCGGUUUCUAUCUAUGACUAACUUUUCCUAGUACGAAAGGAUCGGAAAAGUAGGGCCAAUAUUCCAAACACGCCCUCGCACAAGUAAUGAACUUAAUCUAAAUUACUAACUCUUCCCCUACCCUAUAUCCUAAAUAAGGACC